UACGUAGGGGGCGAGCGUUGUCCGGAGUUACUGGACGUAAAGGGCAUGCAGGCGGUCCGACACGUUUUGUGUGACAGCGGGUGGCUUAACUACCCGAGGAUACGAAAGACGGUUGGACUUGAGGACUCGAGAGGGACACGGAAUUCCGGGUGGAGUGGUGAAAUGCGUAGAGAUCCGGAGGAACACCGAAGGCGAAGGCAGUGUCCUGGCGAGUGACUGACGCUGAGGUGCGAAAGCCAGGGGAGCGAACGGG
rnacentral:rRNA from 1 species